rnacentral:rRNA from 1 species
CACCGCGGUUAUACGAGAGGCCCAAGAUGACAGGCCCCGGCGUAAAGGGUGGUUAAGACGAUAUUUCACUAAAGCCAAACACCCCUCCUGCUGUAAUACACACAUAGGGGUAGGAAGCCCAUCUACGAAAGUUGCUUUAAACCUCUGACGCCACGAAAGCUAGGGAA